GCCCAGGGUUUAUUGUUUGGGGUUUUUUUUAUUUGGCCCUGGUUUUUUUUGGUUUUUUUUUUUUAAAUGGCUAGCUGUAGCUGGAGUACUGGUAUUCCUAGAUGGAAUCAAGAUCUCUGGAGUUGUUAAGCUCUUGCUCUGCAUCCAGGCUGACUCGUUCAAUAUGGUUUUUUUUCAGAUGCGGAGAGAGAGACAAGAUGCAUGCCCCAGAGCGACGGAGGAGGGGAGCGGAGUGCCGUAAGGAGGUGCGAAGCAAGGAACGAUGUGGGCUAUCGGCACCGGAGGUGACUUGGGCAAGGCGGUACGCAUGCCUUGACGUGGCAAGCUCUUGAUGACAGAGCGGGGUGGUCGAGCGGCCAAGGUGGUGCACGCAGCCUCAGAGGAGCCAUGCCGCAGGCCAAUGAGGAGUUUGAGAAGGCGCUGUGCGGGCCACCUUUGGAAUGGGAUGAGCAUUUGAGGUACCAUGAGAGAUGAUGGCUGCAGGGUGUGACUCUGGAAUGAGCAGGUAAGUGUAACACUGUGGUGUGUGUGAUUAAGCGGGGGGGUUGGGAAAGUAGUUGGUGUUGUUGGUGUUAGCUGAUGGGUUACUUACUGCCUCUACUGAUUUUGUUGCUGGUGGGUUUUUUUUGGUUUUUUUUUGUCUUCACUGCAGAUGAUGAAGAGGAACCUGGCGACUGCUGGAUCAUCCCAGUUAGCCCAUGUGAUUUUUGCGGAGGAUGGACUCGUAGCCUUGGCCCUCUGAAAGUUAAGUUGAGGGGACCCGGGCUGGGGAGACGCUGGGAGGAAGGGACAGAGCUGGGAAUUGUAGGGAGGGGGUUUAAAGUUAGAGUA